rnacentral:pre_miRNA from 1 species
GAAAUACUCUCUCCGUUCCAUAUUAAGUGCCGCAAUAUUACAUGUAUCUAGACGUAUUUUGUUAUACAGGUACAUCCAUGUUUAGAAAAAUUUGAGUCACUUAAUAUGGAACGAAGGGAGUAUGUU